GUGAUGUGUAUGCAAGUCACCAGAACUGACAGGACAUGUGACCUAGGACUACUGAUCUCCUGCCUGGGCAAAGCAGAGAACACAUGCAACACAACCUAAACUUUUCUGGAGUACUUAACAGUUUUCUGACGAUCAGUUAAUACACUCCUCAGAAGCUACUGCAGUAGGAACAGCUGUUUGAAACACAAAUGGUUCAGAUCAUAAAGUAAAAGAGCAGGAAUAUGUGCUUAAAUAAAAAGGAAAUUCUCAAAGAAUGCGGUAAAAGUGCAAGGAAAGACACAAGCUGAAUGCCAUCAAA